rnacentral:lncRNA from 1 species
GAUCAGGUUACCUAUUGGAAAGGUACCUCUAGGAGGUAGCACCCCUCUAAGCCCCAUAAAGGUCUCUACUGACUAAAUGUGGCAAUUAAAUGGUUGAUCAUGGAUACCUAAAUAGGCUAGGUGACUUCAAAAAAUAGCAUGUCAACCAAGAAAGUCUGAUCAUAAGAGAGAGUUAGGGUGUGUGUCUGAACCGCUUCUUAAGCGCUAUCAAAAGACAUCGAAGGUUACUUUGAAAAUGUGAUACAACAUUUGUUUUAUCUAAGCAAAUCAAGCAUGUAUUUGGACACCCAAGAAUCAUAUCAUGUAUGGAUAUAAUCACCAAUAGCAUACGUGUCUAUAGAAUUCUCGAAAAUAGGUGAGGAGGAGCGUACCUGGAUAGCAAGUCAAUACUCCUCUAUGGGAAACGAAGUUAGCCAAAUAACAGAUUCAAAAUAAUCUCAUAUAUAUCACAAAGAGGAAGCACAAUUAAUUAAAUAUCAAACAAAAAAUAUCGAAGAAAAUAUCAUGGAUGUCGGGCUCCCACCAAAGCCCUAAUUGAUUUUGCAUGAAUUGAUUCUAUGAAUCCCAUUGUUUGGAAUUAUGAAGUUUAUUCAUGCUUGUUGAAAAAAACGAGAAAACCGUGAAAAUUAGUUGAAAAUGAUGAAAAGGCCUGCCGGAAGGGAA